CCUACGGGGGGCAGCAGUGAGGAAUAUUGGUCAAUGGGCGUAAGCCUGAACCAGCCAAGUCGCGUGAGGGAUGAAGGUCCUAUGGAUUGUAAACUUCUUUUAUAAGGGAAUAAAGUGCGGGACGUGUCCUGUUUUGUAUGUACCUUAUGAAUAAGGACCGGCUAAUUCCGUGCCAGCAGCCGCGGUAAUACGGAGGAUCCGGGCGUUAUCCGGAUUUAUUGGGUUUAAAGGGUGCGUAGGCGGCCUUUUAAGUCAGCGGUGAAAGGCUGUGGCUCAACCAUAGCAUUGCUGUUGAAACUGGGAGGCUUGAGUGUGUUGGAGGCAGGCGGAAUGCGUGGUGUAGCGGUGAAAUGCUUAGAUAUCACGAAGAACCCCGAUUGCGAAGGCAGCCUAC
rnacentral:rRNA from 1 species